UGCGAAGGGGGGCUAGCGUUGUUCGGAAUUACUGGGCGUAAAGGGCUCGUAGGCGGCCAACUAAGUCAGACGUGAAAUCCCUCGGCUUAACCGGGGGAACUGCAUCUGAUACUGGAUGGCUUGAGUUCGGGAGAGGGAUGUGGAAUUCCAGGUGUAGCGGUGAAAUGCGUAGAUAUCUGGAGGAACACCGGUGGCGAAGGCGGCAUCCUGGACCGACACUGACGCUGAGGAGCGAAAGCCAGGGGAGCAAACGGG
rnacentral:rRNA from 1 species